rnacentral:snRNA from 2 species
UUACAUUCUAAAUAUAGUAAAACAGGAAUGAUAAGAGAAGCUUAAAGUGGCCCCUGAGCAAGGAUGACAUGCAAAUUUGUGAAGCAUUCCAAAUUUCU